GACCCCAUAGGUUCUAUUCUGACUGGUAGUGAGAAAUAUUGGAAUCUUUAUCACAAUAUCAUUGAAAACUCCUUUCAAUGGGUUGAAACAAUUCCAACUCAACUCACCAGGGAUUAUCGACCAUCGAGAUGAUCCCUAUGAGUCUCACCAUCCACCAGUGACACCUAGCAGUAUGUAGUGGCUACCCAGCAAAAUAGAAUGAUGAACCUCUAGGUGUAGUUAUCAUAUGAUAUAGUCCUUCUAUCGUGGAUCUCUACAGAUCGGAGGUCAUGGAUAACUCGUCAAACCCCGUUGUCUGUCAUAUGUCUAGAUUUAUUCGACUUGAGUCCGAUAGUGGAAAACUCUUUCUCCACUGUAUUUACUGCCCCGGCCAAGGUCUUAGAACUCAGUCUAAUAAAUCACAUAGGAUCGCUCCUCAUCUAUCAAGAUCGUUAGAUUCAAUGUAGGUGCAUACUCUACUCCUACAGUGAACCUACAACAGCCAAUCUACACUAUAAGGACCCAUAUGACUAGAGACCAUGUAUAUGCAGUCAAACUACAAUAACCUCACUGUGAGUAGCCGAAGCACCGUAGGUCAAAGGACCAGUCACACUGCUGCAACAUCAAGUAAGUCACUGAUGAGUGGAUAGAUAUCCAAGUGACUUAUUGUCUUGGUCACGCUCAGUACCCUUGUUCUCUAACAAGCACUUGCACUCUCACUUCAGUGUCCCUACACUGUGGACUCGAGUCUCGUCCAUCCAUAAGGAAAGCGAUCUGUGCACUGAUCGGAUUGAUCACCGUUCUCGUGAUGAUCCAUUGAUCAAGAGCAUUUAGAAAUUAAUCACCAAUGAUACAUGGUUCAAAUUCUCAACUCUUGAGAAUAUGUAUCAUCAUUUUAUUAAUUUCUUGGACGAUUCAUAGACACAUAAACAAUAUGAAUGAAAAGAUGCCCAUUUAUUAUUCAAUAAUAAUAAAGUCAAGUACAAAUUUAUUGCCCAGAAUUAAUAAUGUGUCUGCCAGAUUGGCUUCUAGGGCAUACAUCUAACACAGCACAGCACAGCGGCGGACAAUAGCAGCACAGCUGGAUGAAGACGGCAUGUCUGACUUCUUCCGAGGGAGGUGGCGGCGCGAAAGAAGAGAAGAAUAUGUCGUGAUGAUGGAAGAAGCUCCGGCUAAUUUUCCCUCAUUCCAUUUCAUAUUUUUUUUAUUUCCGUGGGAAGUCUUCCCAUAAUACCCAAACUACUCUCUCACUUAUGCACUCUGUGGGAUCUCAGCCUCGUAGAAGAU
rnacentral:lncRNA from 1 species